AACGAACGCUGGCGGCAUGCCUAACACAUGCAAGUCGAACGAGACCUUCGGGUCUAGUGGCGCACAGGUGCGUAACGCGUGGGAACCUGCCCUUAGGUUCGGAAUAACUCCCCGAAAGGGGUGCUAAUACCGGAUAAUGUCUUCGGACCAAAGAUUUAUCGCCUUUGGAUGGGCCCGCGUUGGAUUAGCUAGUUGGUAGGGUAAAAGCCUACCAAGGCGACGAUCCAUAGCUGGUCUGAGAGGAUGAUCAGCCACACUGGGACUGAGACACGGCCCAGACUCCUACGGGAAGCAGCAGUGGGGAAUAUUGGACAAUGGGCGAAAGCCUGAUCCAGCAAUGCCGCGUGAGUGAUGAAGGCCUUAGGGUUGUAAAGCUCUUUUACCCGGGAUGAUAAUGACAGUACCGGGAAAAUAAGCUCCGGCUAACUCCGUG
rnacentral:rRNA from 1 species